AGCCUGGAAUGUUCGAGAGCCCCUGCUUUUUUGAACCUACAUUUUUGAUUUUGGGAAGUCAACAUUGUUGUGUGGAUGGCAAGCCUUUUUGGAAGGACGUCAGAGAUGCAUCUGCGGCUACCCACCUGGCUGAGGCUAGGAAUCAAAAUAGCAGGAUACGGCAUUUUGGG
rnacentral:other from 1 species